UACAGAGGUCUCAAGCGUUGUUCGGAUUCAUUGGGCGUAAAGGGUGCGUAGGCGGCGCGGUAAGUCGGGUGUGAAAUCUCGGAGCUUAACUCCGAAACUGCAUUCGAUACUGCCGUGCUUGAGGACUGGAGAGGAGACUGGAAUUUACGGUGUAGCGGUGAAAUGCGUAGAUAUCGUAAGGAAGACCAGUGGCGAAGGCGGGUCUCUGGACGACUCCUGACACUGAGGCACGAAAGCUAGGGGAGCAAACAGG
rnacentral:rRNA from 1 species